rnacentral:lncRNA from 1 species
GUGCACUGAUGUUUACAGUUGGGCUGGAAACUUUCCCCGUUUUGGUAGAUUCUGGAGUUAUAUUCACAGGGUCUGCCCUCUGACUGAGCUCUGCAGAUCCCCUUCAGAGCGGUGGAGCUGGCGCCGAAGUUGCAUUCCAGCCCCUUGGUGUGGUCGCAGGGCUGCGUUUUGCUGCAGUCCUCGUUGAGCUGCUUGGCGCAGACCUUACAGCAG